rnacentral:rRNA from 1 species
ACAUGUCUUUUUGAAAAUAAUAAAAAGUCUAAUCUGCCCACUGAAUUUAUUUAAAGGGCUGCAGUAUAUUGACUGUACAAAGGUAGCAUAAUCAAUAGUCUUUUAAUUGAAGACUUGUAUGAAUGAUUUGAUGAAAUAUGAACUGUCUCUUUUUUAAAAAUAAAAUUUAAUUUUUUAGUUAAAAAGCUAAAAUAAUUAUAAAAGACGAGAAGACCCUAUAGAGUUUUAUAGUUAUUUAAUUUAAAAAUUUUAUAUAUAAUUUAAAUUUAAAAUUAAUUAAUUAUUUUAUUGGGGUGAUAGAAAAAUUAAAAAAACUUUUUUUAAAAAUUUAACAUUAAUUUAUGAAAUUAUGAUCCAUAAUUUAUGAUUAAAAGAAUCAAUUACCUUAGGGAUAACAGCGUAAUUUUUUUUUUUAGUACAAAUAAGAAAAAGAGUUUGCGACCUCGAUGUUGGAUUAAGAUAAAAUUUAAAUGCAAAAGUUUAAAAUUUUUGAUCUGUUCGAUCAUUAAAAUCUUACAUGAUCUG